ACAGAUUAUAUGUAAUAAUGUAUGUUGCAGCAAACCGAAGUGCUCUUUUCUUAUAUAUAUCCCCUUGGUGCCUCCUAAGAAGCAUGGAUGUGCUAGCUCGAAGCUUUUUUGUUUGCUGAGUGCAAACAGUUAUCGUGCUCUGUGUAAUGGCUUCCACAGGCUUGAGUACAGUAUUGAUUUGGUUGGCUGCCUUGCCAGGACGUGGAGCUCUUCUUACAGAGAAUGUGGUUAUGUUGGAAGACUUGGAUUUAGUCAUCACCAUCAUCUUGGCUACCAGUGACAAUUUAUUAACAUUCUCUAAUACACUGUUUGUGUUCAAUUUCCCCCAAUUUUCUGUAAAGUGUCUUUUACAGUUGACUUGUUCUGAUC
rnacentral:lncRNA from 1 species